UAUCAACUCGUGUUGGCCUAACACAUUCAAGCAUGUAUAAAUCACAACUCUACUAACCAUUUAACAUCUCUAACAUUAAUUUCCAUUGGCUAGACAUGUAAAAGACAAUAUUAUGUUGGUUCAAGCAUUUCAUCGAUGCCUUCCAUGCAUGAAAUUACUUAAGCUCUAAAUCAACUUGAUCAAAGCUAAUCUAGCAUUAAGAAAACCUAACAAGCAUGGAACAAUGUUAAUCAAACAAUGAACAAUCCAAAUAUCCAACUAAUCACCCUAAUCCAACUAACUCAUGAAUCAAAAAGUGACUACUCACUGAUCUCCAUGAGAAAUCCUACCUUAAAUUCAUAUGAAAUUCAAAGCUAAUCAUGUUAAUGGGGAAGAGAAACACAAAUAUUAGAUGAAUUAUUUCCUUAAAUGAUCAAAAUGUUCAAGCCUUUGCAAGAUUACACAAUCGUGAUAGAAAAUAAGAUGAUUAACAUUUUUUCCUUAUAAAGUAUUUAUAGGCUCUCUAAAACAAGUUGGGCCAGCCCAAAUAUCUUGGGUCAAACUAAAUAAAAAAAAUCAAGUUUUUAAUCGGUAGAGACCUCACGGAACCGCUACGAAAAGCCGCUGUGAAUGUCCUAUCUCUAGCGGCUUUUCCAAACCGCUACCAAUACCCGCUACAGACUUCGUUACGUUCAUAGCGACUUCAUCAUCCCCCUUUGAAAAGUCGUUGCUUGCCUUAUACCAAAACUCCACAAACAUUGGCUUCAUCAUCAGUAGCGGCUUCGUUAAGCCGCUACCAAAGCCCGGUACGUACACCGUUGAGAUCACAUCGACUACUUCAUCCCUUUACGCUAAAGACUUCGUUAUGUUCAUAGCUGCCUCCCUUUCCCGCUACGAAAAGCCGCUACAUGACUUGUAAGUUUUCUUGGACUGUCCUCUAUGUAGCGAUUUCCUCGGUCCGCUGUGACGCCAUGUUGCCAACUUCGUUGUGAUCAUGGCGGGUGAAUAAUCUCGUUGCCAAAAGCCUCUACACACAUGAUCUUGAGCUUCACUUCGUCAAGUGCUUCAUUUCACCUCUUUAACCUCCAAAGUGUUCCAAACACCUCCAAAACCUCCAAUUGGCAAUUCCAACACCUAAUACAGACUCAUUCAUGACAAUGCAACCUAAAUGUGUCUAAAUGUCACUUUAAAUUAUCAAUAUAUACAUUAAAUGAUAACUAAAAUCAUGUAAAUCUAUAAGAUAUGAACAAACACAGAAGAUGGAACAAGAACCGGAACUGAAAUGAAUCUCUUCAGCCACCACACAACCUGAAGAACCUGCACAAAAUGACACACACAUAAGAUUCUUAACAAAUAAAGCUAAAUAUCUUUUUUUUUUGAAUUGAAUGUUAAAUUUAAUUCAAAAAGAAAAAUCUUGUUACAAUAGUUGUGUCCUUUCCUAUAAUGAAUAAGAACUUUUAAACUCCUAUUUCAAAAAGAUGCAUCAAUCUCUAUCUUGUAUUGAACCAAUGUUGCAUUCCUUCUCCAAUCUCUUUAUCACCUCCCCUUUGCACUAGAGUGAGCCUAUUUCUCAUGUUCUUAUCAAGUAGUUUUAUCAAUAGACCUGCUGGAGCUUCAGCUUCCCCAUGCCUUCUUCUAUUACGUUCUCUCCAAAUCAUAUAAACAGUCGCUUGAAACAUGUACUUAAUAAGAAACAAAUGCAUCUUCCUUCUCCUUGUAUCUCUCAUAAUUCUCAUCAUUUCUUCCCAUCUCACUGUAAACUUGUCUCUCAAUAUACCCUUCAUCAAUACCUCCCAAAUCUGAGUAGAAUAAGAAGACUCGAAAAAUAAGUGCUCUACCGUUUCCAGUGGCUCUGUACAUAAGAUACAAGAUGUAUUGACACUCUCAUUCAUAAAGCUAAAUAUCAUAAGCAGAUAAAACUGUGAACAAAGUAGAAUACCUGACAAAAUUCACUCUUUGUUUAGUACUUUAGGUACUUUUAAAUACAUCUCAUCAAAGCUUGGAAUCGAAGCUCUUAUACUAUCACUGUAUAAGGAACAUCAAAACUUUAGUAGAUGGCUUUCGUCUUAAAACCAGAAUCAAUUCUACUAUAUUCUAGAUGGAGAAAAACUGAAUGAAGAUCAAACAUGUUCUCAAAUGUUUCUGGAGCAUCCUCUGACAAGUUUCCGCCGUCCAUCUCUACAAGUUUCUUUGAAAGAUCGGUAAGGAUCAAGAGAAUGUAAUGAUCAGGUAUAUUCCCACUUACCAAACGAAUCAUGAUUGAUAAGUAGACCUCUUACUAAAGUAAAAAACAAUAUGCCUCCUAAGAUUUUACCAAGAGAAUGUGCUUAGACCACAAAGACUCAAGGCCCUAAUCUCCAAUCAACUUUGUUCAUGCAGAUAUGUCCACAUGAGUCUUCUCGAAUCAGGAUCAAACUCAUUAUUCACAAGAUGGAUGCAACAAAUCUUACUUACAAGUUAGCUAUAAUACAUUCUUUAUUCCCCAAAGUUUCAAUCUUUCAUGAAUGUUUCAUAUGAGCAAAACAUUACAACCACAAAAACAAAACAGUAGAAAGAUACAAUCAUACAAAAUACCAAAACAAAGAAGAAAGUUGUGUACUUCCUCAGCUUCUAAUAAGUUUAUAUCAGUGUACUUUUAAUGUAGCUUCUGAUGCAGCGGACAAAUAGGUUGAACGGUCGAUUAAGGAACCUUUAGGGUUCUUAAAGACAUGUUCUUGGAUCAAUCAAGAGUUUCUUUCGAUAGCUUCUUGAGACCAACUUCCUGCUUGAUGAAUUUAAUCAAAUCAAAGACAAGGUAUAAAGCAAAACAGCUAGUUUAUUAAUUAUCAAAGUCUCCAUACAACUUUAGGCUUGAAUGCUUAUUUAUAAUAAAUCCUUAAAUCUAGAAAACCCUAAUCUUAAUUAAAAUAGGAAAACCAAUAAAAUAUGGAAAAUACAAAUAAAAGUAAAUAUCUUAAUUGAUUCCAAAUAAUAAAAUAAAUAAUAAAAUAUUUGUUUAUAUUCCAAAUACUUAUCUGCAUCAUUCUCUCUGGGUUGGAAAAGAUUCGUCUUCGAAUCUUGAAUCGGUUUUUUGUAGCUGAAAUCUUCAAAAAUUUAUCUUCAAAUCCGAAUUUUGCACAAACCCGAAUCUUCUGAUCUUGCACGAACUUUACACAAUUUGAAUCUGGCCCGAUUUUUGCACAGACGAGAUUUGCAAAAGAAUAUUCACUGAAAACAAAGUCGACAACGCGGACAUCAUCUUCGUAGACGUCGUAGAUCGGAUCACCAUAGAUCUCUCGAUAGAUCUCAUAGUUUUCUUCUCUCUCAACAAAGGGACUUUCGUCCUGGAUAGGAUAGAUGUUCGCAUUCACCAUGACAUCCAGAAUCGUUCUUCGAUUGAAAACCAAAGAGACGCAGCUUUGAUACCACCUGAUGCAGCGGACAAAUAGGUUGAACGGUCGAUCAAGGAACCUUUAGGGUUCCUAGAGACCUGUUCUUGGAUCAAUCAAGAGUUUCUUUCGAUAGCUUCGAUCUUGAGACCAACUUCCUGCUUGAUGAAUUUAAUCAAAUCAAAGACAAAGUAUAAAGCAAAACAGCUAGUUUAUUAAUUAUCAAAGUCUCCAUACAACUUUAGGCUUGAAUGCCUAUUUAUAAUAAAUUCUUAAAUCUAAAAAACCCUAAUCUUAAUUAAAAUAGGAAAACCAAUAAAAUAUGGAAAAUACAAAUAAAAGUAAAUAUCUUAAUUGAUUCCAAAUAAUAAAAUAAAUAAUAAAAUAUUUGGAUAUAUUCCAAAUACUUAUCUAUAUCGGCUUCUAAUUAGUUUUCAUAUUUUGAUGUUUAGGUUGACAUAUAAUUACUAGAUCCAUUACAUGUUCAUAUUGAUGGACUGAUCAUUUGAUGUUUAUUUGGGGAGUUGGGAUAAUACAACAUCUAGCAAUCCAUUCACAAUCCUGACGAACAGAUUUUAGGUUGCGACUUUAUAUAGGAUAACGUAAAAAUUACCAAAACAUAAAAUAAAAGAAAAUAAUAAUAAAAAUCACAAUACUAAAAGGGGAUUUCCUCAAAAUCUAGACAUACCACGUCAUAAAAAAUAUUCAACCAAUCAGAACAUUUCAUUUUCGGGUAUGAGCUUAAAAUUUGUUUAGAAUGGACUUAGGUGUGUGGGCUUCAUGUGGUUUAGGUUUGAGCUUUUUUUCAUCUGCCGAUCAAGAUUUGCUGAUCAACAACAAAAAAGUUUUAGACGUUCUCUCUUCCCAAAACGUCUGUCGAUCAAGAUUCUUUAGGACUUAGUGGUAUUGUCUCCUGAAGCUUUAAAUCAGCUUAUCAUGGUCUCUUAAACCAUGAGUUUUUCUUUCUUCCUCGAGUCUGCAGUCUCCUUCUACGACGCCGCUUUGCAUUCUCCGGUCAGAUUAUGAAUACGAAGGAUCCACAUUUAAUCACUAACGCCACUCAAGAGUUAGUUUUUUUUGCAGAUUCAACACAAUCGGCAAUACCAAAGCUUCAGGAAAGGAAAUUAAAGGGAAACGAUCUCAAAUAGGGACAAAGGUAAGAACCAAUAACAAUCUUUUUUUCUUCAGAAACAAUUUUUUUUGAAACACCAGAACCAAUAACAAAAAACUGGACUAACUUAUGAUAAUAUAUUCUCAAUUAAAUUGAAGCUCAUGUCACUCAUAUGUACUGUUUGACUAUUACUUGCAGUUGGUCGAAACGUUAAUCCAUGGGUUUAAGGUUUGAUCCAGUUGUAUCAGUGUUGGAUUAGUUUGUUACACAAGAAGAUACAAUAAAGCUAUCUAGAGUCGUAUCAGUGUAUAGCUUCUGAUACGUAUCUCCUGCUCUCUAAUUUCUCCAAUCACGUUGAAUAGGUUGAUUAGGAAAGGGAUCCCGCCGGUAUUAAGGUAAAAGGUUUGCCUUUUAUUUCUGAUGCUGCCAAGAAAAGUCCACCACCCUUGAGAAUUAUUACAGUGAUUUGAGCAGGCCGAGAAGGAAAGACCACAUUGAAAACACAGCAGAUUGAUCGUGUGAGACUGAUCUUAUCCGAAGUCUCAAUUUUUUUUUGUUCUUCAGGAAAAUUGAUGUAUUUUAUAUUCUGUUAAUUUUCAAGGAUAUAUUGGUGUUGUUUUAAUUGGUUAUAAGCUCUGUUUCAUAUUGUAAUUUUAUGUAGUCUCAAAAGCAUUGAGAAAACAAGAUGCUAUCGAUGCUGUUAUGGUUGGAAAUUUAGAAUACUUGCUGACAAAGAGAUAAGGGUUGGUAUCGGAGAGAUUCACUUCUUCCCUGCUCCAGAGCAGUGGUCCAUGUGAAUUCGUUGGUGUGUUGCCUUGGUUUGAUCCUCCAAGACAUGAUACUGGGAUCAACUUGCUAUUGCCAAAUAGACUCGACAUAGGCUUGGUAUGGGAUCAAACAUGUAUCCAUCAGCAUCAGCUUCUCUAUUUAGUAAUCACAAAGACGAAAGCCUAGCUGAUGUUCCCGUUGAACAGUUGAUUGAGAAUGCUGAUGCCUUUGCUGCUGUCUUCCCAGGUUGGUUAAGAAGAGUUUUUUUUGUUCAUGAACAUGAUCUCUCUCUCUCU